GCUUGCUGGAGGCCGCUUUGGCUCCUUCCAGCCAGGCUGAGCCUUUCCGGGAGGGUGAUCGCAAAGAGGCCUGGGCUGAUGGCAGGCAAGAAACCCUGUUAGUAAAGAGGCGGCAUAACCUCACUGCACAGAGCAGCGUGCCUUUGCUGCAGGACCCCCCCCCCCCCCCACCUGCCGCAGACCCCGGGGGUCUCCGCAUCCCUGGGUUCUGUCUCUCUACAGCUAAGCCCCUCUCCCUUUACUGCGGAAGGCCUGGGACGCCCUUGCCAGCCAGGAUUCCUUCAGACUGCCUCUGCCCCCUGAUGCUGGCAGAUUUUUCCUUUUCCUCCGCUGCUGCAGGAUUCCCCGGACAACCCAGAGGUCAAGUUCAUGGACUCCUAUUUCCUAGGUCAAGGGCGAGGGGCCCCUGGUGUGGCUUAGGCUGGGCCACUUGGAUCUGGAUCUACCUGGGCAAGUCUGAUGGACGGACUGCCGAGGCCAACAUGUGGUCCAGGGGCCCAGCGCUUCUGUCCAGCGCGGGACCCUUCUGCUAGUCGUCUGUGCUCCAGAACCCCAGCGAGCAGCUCCUGG
rnacentral:lncRNA from 1 species